GCGGUCCACGGCAGGGAAAGGUCAGCUGCAGCCCGCGGCCGUGCCUCCCCUCUCCACCCCUGACUCCACCGUGGUAGUCCGCCGUGUCCGUCCCUCCCUGCCUGCCUGUUCGCCGCCCCCCUUGGUAUUCAGCCAACAGCCAUUCAGGAUGGCUAGGACAGAGGGGCAGGCUGCUGUGGAUGCCCAAGUGCCUGCAAGUGAUAACCAAAGUGAGUAUGUGUUUCACCUUAAGAGAAAAUCAAAUGACAUUGGAUGGAAUUGGGGUAGCCUAUGUGAUCCAAAUGACAAGAAUAGAUUGAAGUGCCUACUUUGUGGCAAUGAGAAUAGUGGAGGCAUUAAUCGAUUCAAACAGCACCUUGCACAUGAAGGGACUGCAGUGGUCCAUUGCACCAAAGUGACUGAUGAAAUUAAAAAAUUGCAAAGAAGAUCUUGACCGACCAAAAAAGAAGAAAAGGGAGAAGCAGAGGGCAGAGGCAGAUCUGAGAGAAGAUGUGGUAAUUACAGGGAGUAGAGAAGGAUCAGAUGCUGAAUCUAAGGCUGCAAGCUCAUCAGGUGGUUCCCCAACUCAAAAACUAGGUCCCAUGGAUCGAUGGACACGACCUAUUAAUCCUAAAGCAACCAAAGAAGAAGCCAAGAGGCAACAAAGUUUAAAUGAAGCACUUUGGAAGGAGAGGACACAUCAAGUUCAUCAAUAUAUUGCUAGAUGGGUAUACACUCAUGGUAUACCAUUCAAUGCUGUUGACAAUGAUGAGUUCAUAGAGAUGGUUGAGGCCAUUGGUUCCUUUGGUCCUGGUUUGAGACCUCCUUCCCAAUAUGACCUUCGAGAGAAAUUGUUGAAGGAGGAGCAUGCAAGAAUGAAAACUUUGUUGCUGAACCGUGAAGAAGAAAAGAACAAGAAUGGUUGUUCAGUCAUGACUGAUGCUUGGACAGAUAUGAAGAGGAGGAGUAUAAUGAAUCUGUGCACACAUACUUCAGAAGGGCAAGUUUCAUGAAGUCCAAGGAGAUGUCAGAUGUAUCACACACAAGUGAGGUCAUAUUUGAGUUAGUGGACAAAGCAAUUGAUGAAUUAGGAGCAGAAAAUGUGGUGCAAGUUGUGACAGAUAAUGCUCUAAUAACAUGGGAGCAAAAACAUUGAUGUUAGAGAAGAGGCCUAACAUUUUUUGGAGCUCUUGUGCAACUCAUACAAUCAAUUUGAUGCUCCAAGGCAUUGGUAGCCUGCCAAGGUUUAAGAAAACAAUUGACCAAGCAAAGGCGUUCACUAUUUUUGUGUAUGGGCAUCAUCGAACCUUGGCAUGUAUGCGGUCUUUCACUUUGAAGAAGGAUAUUAUAAGGCCAGGGGUGACUAGAUUUGCCACCAGCUACCUUACUUUGCAAAGUUUGAUGGAAAAAAGAGAUGCACUAAGGAAGAUGGUGGUUGAUCCAAAAUGGGAUGAAAUACCGAUGUGAAGACAAGAAAGGGAAAAGAUGCAAUAGCCACUAUGCUGAGUGUUCCCUUCUGGAAAAGUGUAGCACUUUGCCUAAAGGUUUUUGAACCUUUGGUGAGGCUACUUCGUUUGGUUGAUGGGGAUGUGAGGCCAGCCAUGGCUUUUCUUUAUGGUGAGCUAAUUAAGGCAAAGAAGGAGAUCAAGGAAGCCUUUGGCAAUGUGGAGACUAACUAUAAAGAUGUCAUGGCUAUUGUUGACAAGAAGAUGAAGGGCAGACUUGAUUCCAGCUUGCAUGUUGCUGCAUACUUGCUGAAUCCAUACUACUCCUAUAGAGAUGCUGCCAUCUUUGAUGAUUCAAGUGUUGUGGAAAAGUUCAUGCUUUGUUGUGAGACAUUUUUCGAAGGUGAUGAAGAAAAAGAGUACUUGGCUGUCAAUGAAGAUUUUGACAAGUUUCAGACGAAGCAAGGUUCCUUUGGAAAGAAGAUGGCAAGAAGUUGUGAAUGAUUUGAGUUCAACCCUGCAUCUUGGUGGAGGCUCUAUGGAGGUGGAGCACCAAAUUUGCAACGCAUGGCUUCUCGAAUCCUCUCAUUGACAGCAAGAUCCUCCAGAUGUGAAAGGAAUUGGAGCACUUUUGAGUUUAUACAUACCAAGAGAAGAAAUAGACUAACAACAGAGUGCCUCAACAUGCUAGUCUACGUGCAAUUUAAUACAAGGCUGCUGUCCAAGAAGGAGAAAACCAGCAACAAGAAAUCUUAUGAAGUCCUCCUAAGCAAGGAUGCUGCUGAAGCACAAGGUUUUUUUAUGAGAGAGGGGAUGAACAAGCUUUGGUGGUGUUUAGGGACCCCGAUGAGGCUGAGGCUGAAGUUCCUGGAACUGGGAUGACAUGGCGUAUCCUUGGAGAUGCAGUGGGAGCAGAUGAGCAGCUUCAACCUCGUAGGAGUGGAAGGAAUUAGCCUAGAGAUUUACAUGAAGAAGAAGAGUUCGAAUCCGAAGACGACAGUGACUAUGAGGAAGAGCAAAUUCCUUUUGAGGAUGAUGAAGAUGAAAUACUAGGAGCAAAUUCCUUUGAGGAUUGAAGCUGUCUGGACUGUGGGCUGCUGCAUGUUGUGUUUGCCUAUCAUAUUUUGCUUGAUUGUGCUAUGUACCAUCAGCUGCUAGCUGCUGCUAUGACUUUUAAGUUUUUAUUUUCUUUGAGUUUGAAGUUUGAACUAUGAACUAUGCUAUGUCGUUAUGUGCUACUUCAUGUGGUGUGCUACAGUCUGCAGCUGUUAAUUUUAUCAUGCUCAUUGUCAUUCGUUCUUA